UGGGGAAUAUUGGACAAUGGGCGAAAGCCUGAACCAGCCAUGCCGCAUGAGUGAAGAAGGCCUUUGGGUUGUAAAGCUCUUUUAGUGAGGAAGAUAAUGACGGUACUCACAGAAGAAGUCCUGGCUAACUCCGUGCCAGCAGCCGCGGUAAUACGGAGAGGGCUAGCGUUAUUCGGAAUUAUUGGGCGUAAAGGGCGCGUAGGCUGGUUAAUAAGUUAAAAGUGAAAUCCCGAGGCUUAACCUUGGAAUUGCUUUUAAAACUAUUAAUCUAGAGAUUGAAAGAGGAUAGAGGAAUUCCUGAUGUAGAGGUAAAAUUCGUAAAUAUUAGGAGGAACACCGGUGGCGAAGGCGUCUAUCUGGUUCAAAUCUGACGCUGAAGCGCGAAGGCGUGGGGAGCAAACA
rnacentral:rRNA from 1 species